rnacentral:sRNA from 14 species
GGUGAUUGGUUGUAACAUCUGUCACCCCACUGAUCGCUGGGAUUGAUUUGUGGGACCUGGCUUGCUGGGUGGUGUCCCCUUCCUCC